UACAGAGGUCUCAAGCGUUGUUCGGAUUCAUUGGGCGUAAAGGGUGCGUAGGUGGCGCCGUAAGUCAGGUGUGAAAUUUCGGAGCUCAACUCCGAAACUGCAUUUGAUACUGCGGUGCUUGAGGACUGGAGAGGAGACUGGAAUUCACGGUGUAGCAGUGAAAUGCGUAGAUAUCGUGAGGAAGACCAGUGGCGAAGGCGGGUCUCUGGGCCGAUACUGACGCUGAGGAGCGAAAGCGUGGGGAGCGAACAGG
rnacentral:rRNA from 1 species